AGUGAACGCUGGCGGUAGGCCUAACACAUGCAAGUCGAACGGCAGCACAGUAAGAGCUUGCUCUUACGGGUGGCGAGUGGCGGACGGGUGAGGAAUACAUCGGAAUCUACUUUUUCGUGGGGGAUAACGUAGGGAAACUUACGCUAAUACCGCAUACGACCUACGGGUGAAAGCAGGGGAUCUUCGGACCUUGCGCGAUUGAAUGAGCCGAUGUCGGAUUAGCUAGUUGGCGGGGUAAAGGCCCACCAAGGCGACGAUCCGUAGCUGGUCUGAGAGGAUGAUCAGCCACACUGGAACUGAGACACGGUCCAGACUCCUACGGGAGGCGGCAGUGGGGAAUAUUGGACAAUGGGCGCAAGCCUGAUCCAGCCAUACCGCGUGGGUGAAGAAGGCCUUCGGGUUGUAAAGCCCUUUUGUUGGGAAAGAAAAGCAGCAGGUUAAUACCCCGCUGUCCUGACGGUACCCAAAGAAUAAGCACCGGCUAACUUCGU
rnacentral:rRNA from 1 species